rnacentral:tRNA from 2 species
AGUAAAGUCAGCUAAAUAAGCUCUUGGGCCCAUACCCCAAACAUGAUCGUUAAAAUCCUUCCUUUACUA